rnacentral:sRNA from 1 species
UUGGUGAUGAACAGCAAUGUGGAAGUGUAAGCUGAAUAAACCCUUUCCUCCCCAAUUGUUUCUUGGUCCAUGAUGUUUGUUCAGGACUAGAAACCCUGACUGAGACAAUACACAAUCCUAGAUUACCUUACUGAGGAAAGUUAUUGAAGAAUAUAUAAAUAACUUACAAGAUAAGCAUUAAGCCCAAGGAAUUCAUGAUCAUGGAACCAGGAUUUCUAAUAAAAUUUAAAAGACUCUUACACAAAAUAAGAAGAACACAACCAUAGAGUACAGGAAAAAAUAAAUUUUAGUAAAAGAGUGUAUAAGAAAUAGAAACCGGGAAAAAAUUUUUAAAAAAAUGUCAGGAAUUUGUAUAUACCUUUAUAUUAUAACCAGGAAUGUAAAUAACUUCAAUAUGCUAAUUAGAAGAUAUUAGCUGGCUAACUGGGUAAAGUAAGAUUCAACUGUUUGUUACCUGUAAGAAACACACAUUUAUGUAUUUAUACAGAGAAAUUGAAAGUGAGAUUCAGAAAAUGAUACUCUAACUAAAUAGAGUUUAUAAGCAAGCACAGGUAGUUGUAGACAUACUUGACAAAGCAAAUGCCAUUCUAAAAUUGGGGGGUAAAAGGAAGGUCACCAUAUAUUGGUAAAGGGAAAAUCAAGAAGCUCUUGUGAUCAUAAGUAUAAGUAUAUAUGUACUGAAUAUUCAUGCACUAGAUACCAUAAAGCAAGCAUUGUCUGGCCCAGAAAUUCUACCUUAUCUUUCACCCAGUGAUUGGCUUCUCAGUCAAGAACCAAUUAGGGAGCUAGAUUUUAGUUAUCAGCUCCUCCCCCUACAUCUCACCUUUUCUGUCAAAUAAUAAAAUUUAAAAACCUGUUCUCCGAUGAAUAAAUUGAAAAAAAAUCAUGACAAGUAAAUUACACAGUAUGAGGUACAAAUGACAUCUAGUCCAUCAAUUUGUCAAUUUAGAUAAAGCACUCUACCAUCUAUCCUAACAUAAAAGGCUUACAAUUCUACACCUGAGUUAUGUCCUGGGUUUAGCUUGUGUACUACCUGAAAACCAUUCUCUCAAAUCUAUAUCAUCUCUCUCAAUGCUAAACAGCUUGAGUUGGCUAUGAGACUACAACCAAUAUUCAACCCCACCAGAAAUCCAAAAACAACUUAAAUAUUACCUGAAAAAUAUAGGAAGCACUAACAUAGCAUCCAAAACUAAAACAAAUUGCAGAGACAGCUGUCUACCUUCACAGUCCCCUAUUCCUCAAAACAUUGAAGCAAUUGUCUUCAGCCUUCUGGCCCAGAACACCUGACAGAUGUUAAGUGAAACAGAAAUUAUUAUGAAGGACUAACUUAUUCUGUCUCAGCAGAACGAAGUUGUCAACUAUACUGCAUCAUGUGUCCUUUCAUGGACAGUUUAUUAUGUUUGUAGAUGAAUCAGGGCAACUCCUGCCCAUAAUAACUGUCAA